UGAGUAACCUGCCCUUAACUCUGGGAUAAGCCUGGGAAACUGGGUCUAAUACCGGAUAUGACUCCUCAUCGCAUGGGUGGGGGGUGGAAAGCUUUAUUGUGGUUUUGGAUGGACUCGCGGCCUAUCAGCUUGUUGGUGAGGUAAUGGCUCACCAAGGCGACGACGGGUAGCCGGCCUGAGAGGGUGACCGGCCACACUGGGACUGAGACACGGCCCAGACUCCUACGGGGAGGCAG
rnacentral:rRNA from 1 species